AGAGUUUGAUCAUGGCUCAGAUUGAACGCUGGCGGCAGGCUUAACACAUGCAAGUCGAGCGGUAACAGGGGGUGCUUGCACCCCGCUGACGAGCGGCGGACGGGUGAGUAACGCGUAGGAAUCUACCCAGUAGCGGGGGAUAGCCCGGGGAAACUCGGAUUAAUACCGCAUAAGCCCUUCGGGGGAAAGCAGGGGAUCUUCGGACCUUGCGCUAUUGUAUGAGCCCUCGUGAGAUUAGCUUGUUGGUGAGGUAAAGGCUCACCAAGGCGACGAUCUCUAGCUGUUCUGAGAGGAAGAUCAGCCACAUUGGGACUGAGACACGGCCCAAACUCCUACGGGAGGCAGCAGUGGGGAAUAUUGCACAAUGGGGGAAACCCUGACGCAGCCAUGCCGCGUGUGUGAAGAAGGCCUUCGGGUUGUAAAGCACUUUAAGCGAGGAGGAAGGCCAUAAGAUUAAUACUCUUGUGGAUUGACGUUACUCGCAGAAGAAGCACCGGCUAACUCCGUGCCAGCAGCCGCGGUAAUACGGAGGGUGCAAGCGUUAAUCGGAAUUACUGGGCGAAAGCGCGCGUAGGUGGGUAGAUAAGUUGGAUGUGAAAGCCCAGGGCUCAACCUUGGAACUGCAUUUUGAACUGGUAGACUAGAGUACUGUAGAGGGUGGUGGAAUUUCCAGUGUAGCGGUGAAAUGCGUAGAGAUCUGAAGGAAUACCAGUGGCGAAGGCGGCCCCCUGGAUUGAUACUGACACUGAGGUGCGAAAGCGGGGGUAGCAAACAGGAUUAGAUACCCUGGUAGUCCAUGCCGUAAACGAUGUCAACUAGCCGUUGGAAGACUUGAUCUUUUAGUGGCGCAGCUAACGCAAUAAGUUGACCGCCUGGGGAGUACGGCCGCAAGGUUAAAACUCAAAUGAAUUGACGGGGGCCCGCACAAGCGGUGGAGCAUGUGGUUUAAUUCGAAGCAACGCGAAGAACCUUACCUACUCUUGACAUCCUCAGAACUUAGCAGAGAUGCUUUGGUGCCUUCGGGAACUGAGUGACAGGUGCUGCAUGGCUGUCGUCAGCUCGUGUUGUGAAAUGUUGGGUUAAGUCCCGUAACGAGCGCAACCCUUGUCCUUAUUUGCCAGCACGUAAUUGUGGGAACUUUAAAGAGACUGCCGUGACAAACCGGAGGAAGGUGGGGACGACGUCAAGUCAUCAUGGCCCUUACGACCUGGGCUACACACGUGCUACAAUGGCCGGUACAGAGGGCAGCGAUCUCGCGAGAGUCAGCCAAUCCCUUAAAACCGGUCGUAGUUCGGAUUGGAGUCUGCAACUCGACUCCAUGAAGCCGGAAUCGCUAGUAAUCGUGGAUCAGCAUGCCACGGUGAAUACGUUCCCGGGCCUUGUACACACCGCCCGUCACACCAUGGGAGUGGGUUGCAAAAGAAGUGGCUAGUCUAACCUUCGGGAGGACGGUCACCACUUUGUGAUUCAUGACUGGGGUGAAGUCGUAACAAGGGUAACC
rnacentral:rRNA from 1 species